GUGUUCGCUUCAGCAGCACAUAUACUAAAAAAUUGGAACGAUACAGAGAAGAUUAGCAUGGCCCCUGAGCAAGAUGCAAAUUACUUUGUUUGACCUCAUAUUUCU